GACGGAGAACUUCUAUUGAUUAUUAGAUAACAUAAAACGCUGUCAGAAACAGAAAAAGUGUAACAUUUUUCGGCACUUGAUUACGCCACUUUUACGCCUCAAAAAAACUGAAGGACCAGGGACGGGUACCCACCGUAAGUUCCAUCUCGUCAUUGUCUUUCUUGAUGAAGAAGGGCCACCAACCUUUGAUGCGACGCUGCUUGAAGAGGGAUACCUGUGGCACGCUGCCGUCCGACCGCAGCAUGUCUAGCGUGCACAGUUUGGAAGACUUUGCGCCCCGAGGGAAACGAUUCAAAUCCAGCGUGAUGGCUCCUGUUGCGGAAAAGAACGAGAACGUUUAAUUGAAUAAUUUCCACCCAGAAGCCCUGCAUAACUUUUCGAGAGGACAGGAGGGCCUGGUUUAGAUACUGAAACAGAAUGUCAAAACAUUGGGUAUGUUCCAAGAGAGUACAAAGGAGUAUUCAUAGUAUUUGUUUGC